rnacentral:rRNA from 1 species
AACGAACGCUGGCGGCAUGCCUAACACAUGCAAGUCGAACGAGACCUUCGGGUCUAGUGGCGCACGGGUGCGUAACGCGUGGGAACCUGCCCUUAGGUUCGGAAUAACUCCCCGAAAGGGGUGCUAAUACCGGAUAAUGUCUUCGGACCAAAGAUUUAUCGCCUUUGGAUGGGCCCGCGUUGGAUUAGCUAGUUGGUAGGGUAAAAGCCUACCAAGGCGACGAUCCAUAGCUGGUCUGAGAGGAUGAUCAGCCACACUGGGACUGAGACACGGCCCAGAAUCCUACGGGAGGCAGCAGUGGGGAAUAUUGGACAAUGGGCGAAAGCCUGAUGCAGCAAUGCCGCGUGAGUGAUGAAGGCCUUAGGGUUGUAAAGCGCUUUUACCCGGGAUGAUAAUGACGGUACCGGGAGAAUAAGCUCCGGCUAACUACGUG